rnacentral:rRNA from 1 species
GGCGUAGAGUUUGAUCCUGGCUCAGAUUGAACGCUGGCGGAAUGCUUUACACAUGCAAGUCGAACGGCAGCACGGGGGCAACCCUGGUGGCGAGUGGCGAACGGGUGAGUAAUACAUCGGAACGUGCCCAGUCGUGGGGGAUAACGUAGCGAAAGCUACGCUAAUACCGCAUACGAACUCUGGUUGAAAGCGGGGGAUCACAAGACCUCGCGCGAUUGGAGCGGCCGAUGGCAGAUUAGGUAGUUGGUGGGGUAAAGGCUCACCAAGCCGACGAUCUGUAGCUGGUCUGAGAGGACGACCAGCCACACUGGGACUGAGACACGGCCCAGACUCCUACGGGAGGCAGCAGUGGGGAAUUUUGGACAAUGGGCGCAAGCCUGAUCCAGCCAUUCCGCGUGCAGGAUGAAGGCCCUCGGGUUGUAAACUGCUUUUGUACGGAACGAAAAGGCCUGGGUUAAUACCUCGGGCUCAUGACGUACCG